GGGUCGGUAGUACAACCUGGCGAGUACACUCGGCUGUAACCCGACAGAUCCUCGUUCAAAUCGAGGCCGGCCCA
rnacentral:tRNA from 1 species